rnacentral:rRNA from 1 species
AUGACAAGGUACGAAGUAGGUAGUAGACAAUAACCAAACCAGUGGACGGAACGGGUGAGUAACACGUAGGCAACCUGACUUUAAGACGAGGAUAACCGUUGGAAACGACGGAUAAUACUGGAUAGGACAUCAGAAAGGGCAUCCUUAGAUGUUUAAAGGUUAUUAUGCCACUUAGAGAGGGGCCUGCGGCGCAUUAGCUAGUUGGUGAGAUAACAGCCCACCAAGGCGAUGAUGCGUAGCCGGACUGAGAGGUUGAACGGCCACAAUGGAACUGAGAACGGUCCAUACUCCUACGGGAGGCAGCAGUAGGGAAUUUUCGGCAAUGGGCGCAAGCCUGACCGAGCAACGCCGCGUGAACGAAGAAGUUAUUCGUAAUGUAAAGUUCUUUUAUCUGGGAAGAAAAAACAAAUUGACGGUACCAGAUGAAUAAGCUCCGGCUAACUACGUGCCAGCCGCCGC